UAACAUGAGAGUUUGAUCCUGGCUCAGAACGAACGCUGGCGGCAGGCUUAACACAUGCAAGUCGAACGUGAAGCCGGGCUUCGGCCCGGUGGAAAGUGGCGCACGGGUGAGUAACGCGUGGGAAAUUACCUAGCAGUACGGAAUAACUCCGGGAAACCGGCGCUAAUACCGUAUACGCCCUCCGGGGGAAAGAUUUAUCGCUGUUGGAUGUGCCCGCGUCGGAUUAGGUAGUUGGUGGGGUAAUGGCCCACCAAGCCCGCGAUCCGUAGCUGGUUUGAGAGGAUGAUCAGCCACACUGGGACUGAGACACGGCCCAGACUCCUACGGGAGGCAGCAGUGGGGAAUAUUGGACAAUGGGCGCAAGCCUGAUCCAGCAAUACCGCGUGUGUGAAGAAGGCCUGAGGGUUGUAAAGCAC
rnacentral:rRNA from 1 species